rnacentral:rRNA from 1 species
UGGGGAAUCUUCCGCAAUGGACGAAAGUCUGACGGAGCAACGCCGCGUGAGUGAUGACGGCCUUCGGGUUGUAAAGCUCUGUUAAUCGGGACGAAUGGUUCUUGUGCAAAUAGUGCGAGGAUUUGACGGUACCGGAAUAGAAAGCCACGGCUAACUACGUGCCAGCAGCCGCGGUAAUACGUAGGUGGCAAGCGUUGUCCGGAAUUAUUGGGCGUAAAGCGCGCGCAGGCGGAUUGGUCAGUCUGUCUUAAAAGUUCGGGGCUUAACCCCGUGAUGGGAUGGAAACUGCCAAUCUAGAGUAUCGGAGAGGAAAGUGGAAUUCCUAGUGUAGCGGUGAAAUGCGUAGAUAUUAGGAAGAACACCAGUGGCGAAGGCGACUUUCUGGACGAAAACUGACGCUGAGGCGCGAAAGCCAGGGGAGCGAACGGGAUUAGAUACCCCGGUAGUCCUGGCCGUAAACGAUGGGUACUAGGUGUAGGAGGUAUCGACCCCUUCCGUGCCGGAGUUAACGCAAUAAGUACCCCGCCUGGGGAGUACGACCGCAAGGUUG